rnacentral:rRNA from 1 species
CAUGAGAGCCGGUAACACCCGAAGUCAGGGAGCCGUAACCGCAAGGAGGGCACUGCCGAAGGUGGGAUUGGUGAUUAGGGUGAAGUCGUAACAAGGUACC